GUUCGUUAUAGCUCGACGAGUGUGAUUCGCACGAGCAGCACGGGUGCUUGCACCUGGUGGCGAGUGGCGAACGGGUGAGUAAUACAUCGGAAUGUACCUUGUAGUGGGGGAUAGCUCGGCGAAAGCCGGAUUAAUACCGCAUACGCUCUGAGGAGGAAAGCGGGGGACCUUCGGGCCUCGCGCUACAAGAGCAGCCGAUGUCAGAUUAGCUAGUUGGUGGGGUAAAAGCUCACCAAGGCGACGAUCUGUAGCUGGUCUGAGAGGACGACCAGCCACACUGGGACUGAGACACGGCCCAGACUCCUACGGGAGGCAGCAGUGGGGAAUUUUGGACAAUGGGCGAAAGCCUGAUCCAGCAAUGCCGCGUGUGUGAAGAAGGCCUUCGGGUUGUAAAGCACUUUUGUCCGGAAAGAAAUCCUCUGGGUUAAUACCUCGGGGGGAUGACGGUACCGGAAGAAUAAGCACCGGCUAACUACGUGCCAGCAGCCGCGGUAAUACGUAGGGUGCAAGCGUUAAUCGGAAUUACUGGGCGUAAAGCGUGCGCAGGCGGUUUUGUAAGACGGAUGUGAAAUCCCCGGGCUUAACCUGGGAACUGCAUUCGUGACUGCAAGGCUAGAGUAUGGCAGAGGGGGGUAGAAUUCCACGUGUAGCAGUGAAAUGCGUAGAGAUGUGGAGGAAUACCGAUGGCGAAGGCAGCCCCCUGGGCCAAUACUGACGCUCAUGCACGAAAGCGUGGGGAGCAAACAGGAUUAGAUACCCUGGUAGUCCACGCCCUAAACGAUGUCAACUAGUUGUUGGGGAUUCAUUUCCUUAGUAACGAAGCUAACGCGUGAAGUUGACCGCCUGGGGAGUACGGUCGCAAGAUUAAAACUCAGAGGAAUUGACGGGGACCCGCACAAGCGGUGAUGAUGUGGAUUAAUUCGAUGCAACGCGAAAAACCUUACCUACCCUUGACAUGGUACGGAAUCCUGCUGAGAGGUGGGGAGUGCUCGUAAUGAGAAGCAGUAACCACACGCUGCUGCAUGGACUGUCGUCAGCUCGUGUCGUCGAGAAUGAUUGGGGUUAAGUUCCCGCAACGAGGCGGCAAUCUCUUUGAUCCCUAGGUGCUACGCAGGAGCUACUGCUAGUCAAGACUGACAGAGUACAAACCGCAGGACCGCUUGGGAUGAACGGUCGAAGUCCCUCAUGGCCUUAUCGGCGUAGUGCGUCGCAACGGUCAUACAAAGGACUACAGGGUACACAGAGAGGCG
rnacentral:rRNA from 1 species